rnacentral:rRNA from 1 species
GAGUUUGAUCUUGGCUCAGAUUGAACGCUGGCGGCAUGCUUUACACAUGCAAGUCGAACGCGAAAGGGGGGCAACCCCUGAGUAGAGUGGCGCACGGGUGAGUAAUGCAUCGGAACGUGUCCUGUAAUGGGGGAUAACUUAGCGAAAGCUAAGCUAAUACCGCAUACGUCCUACGGGAGAAAGUGGGGGAUCGAAAGACCUCACGUUAUAGGAGCGGCCGAUGCCGGAUUAGCUAGUUGGUGAGGUAAAGGCUCACCAAGGCGACGAUCCGUAGCUGGUCUGAGAGGAUGAUCAGCCACACUGGGACUGAGACACGGCCCAGACUCCUACGGGAGGCAGCAGUGGGGAAUUUUGGACAAUGGGGGGAAACCCUGAUCCAGCCAUGCCGCGUGAGUGAAGAAGGCC